rnacentral:lncRNA from 1 species
CAGAGUUGUAGCGACCGAGGGCAGUCAUCUCGUUGAUCUAUUUGUUCCUACUGUGAAGCUUCAAACUACGUGGGCUAGAAUUACUUAUGUGUGUCGGAGCCUCCAUAUUGAUCAUCUGUUCAUUGAAUAUGACACAGCUACUGUGAUGACUUGGCUUCAGAAGUGCAUGUAGGGAGACACCAAUCACUCUUUUUUGCAUGAGAUUGCGGCUAUGCUAUCGAACCAUGC